GUGCCAGCCGCCGCGGUAAAACGUAGGAGACGAACGUUAUCCGGAGUUACUGGGCGUAAAGGGCGUGUAGGCGGUAUGCUAAGUCUGGCGUGAAAGCUCUCGGCUAAACCGGGAGAGGUCGUUGGAUACUGGCAAACUAGAGGAUGGUAGAGGCGUGUGGAAUUCCGGGUGUAGUGGUGAAAUGCGUAGAGAUCCGGAGGAACACCAGUGGCGAAGGCGACACGCUGGGCCAUACCUGACGCUAAAGCGCGACAGCAUGGGGAGCAAACGGGAUUAGAAACCCUCGUAGUCC
rnacentral:rRNA from 1 species